AUAAACGAUUAAUCAAAGUCAAAAUGUAAACGUCAUUCAGCUGAUAAUAAACAACAAAUUGAAUUUUUAAAAGAAAGGGUUGUUAUUUCGCAGAUAUUAAUAUAGGCUACAAGAAUUAUGAAUCAAGACAGAUAUUCUUUAAUAGACAAUACUGCCCAUUCUAGUAUAGUACAGGAAUCUGGCUAUGAAUCUACGGAACCCUCCAAUGAUAGACCUGCGAAAUUCCGUCAGUACCUUGCAGCCUUCUCAGCAACUUUGUCAGCUCUGGCUGCCGGUACCGUACUGGCAUGGACAUCUCCGAUUCUCAAUGACCUGGAAGCUGGCAAGUACAACAACAUCAAAUUAGACAGCAACCAAAUAGGAUGGAUCGGCUCGUUCGUAACAUUCGGUGGGAUGGCCAUGUGCAUACCAACAGGCUUUAUCUGUGACAUAAUAGGUCGUAAGAAAACUCUGCUGUUAUUAUGUGUUCCCUACACGAUAGGAUGGUUGCUCAUCAUAUUCGCCAACAACGUGCUGAUGCUGUAUUUCGGCAGACUAAUAACGGGAACUGCAGCUGGAGCUUGUUGUAUAGCAGCACCUUUGUACACAAGCGAAAUAGCCCACAAAACGCUGCGAGGUACUCUAAGCAGUUAUUUUCAACUGAUGGUUACCGUGGGAAUAUUUCUGGGUUAUUUACUAGGAAAAUACCUAAAUGCUCUAUAUUUUACAAUCUGGUGUGCUUGCGUUCCGUUCGUUUUCGUUGUUUUCUUUGUAUUCCAGCCUGAAUCACCCGUGUAUCUAUUAAAACGAGGACUCUUUAAUGACGCUAAGGGAGUUUUGACUAUCUUACGAGGUAGCGAGUACAAAGUCGAUGAAGAACUCAACGAAAUCGAAGGAUAUUUAAAGGAAAGUAGCCAAACAACCAUUUCCCUAACUGAAACUUUCAAACAAGGAUCUGUCAUUAAGGCUUUUAUUAUAUCUGCUUCUUUGAUGUUUUUCCAGCAGUUUAGCGGUGUUAACGCGGUUAUUCUGUACACCACAGAUAUCUUUAAGACGUCAGGAGUGCACUUGGAUCCAAAAAGUGCUUCUGUUAUGGUAGGAUUAUUUCAAGUUCUAGCUACUUUCGCGGCUUCUUUAGUUAUAGAUAAACUUGGUAGAAGAAUAUUGUUGUUUAUAUCGGCGUUGUUUGUUACCGUAAACCUAUUUCUUCUUGCUAUUUUCUUCACUCUGAAAGACAGAACCGAUAUAAGCGACAAUAUUAUUGAAAAAUUAGGAUUUAUACCAGUAGGAGCCUUAUGCCUGUUUAUAAUAGCUUAUUCUCUUGGAUUGGGACCAAUUCCGUGGGUGAUAUCAUCUGAGAUAUUUCCUACUGAGAUUAAGAGUGUUACUAGUUCUACAGCAGGUACCGUUAAUUGGUUUUUGGCUUUUAUCCUUACGAGGUUUUAUCUUCAAAUAUCCAAUUAUAUAGGGCAAGAUAGUACAUUCUAUAUUUUUGGAUCUGCCUCGAUGAUAGGAAUAUUCUUCGUCUAUAUUUUCGUUCCGGAAACUAAAGGUAAAAACAUUUUGGAAAUACAGGCUGCCUUGAAUAACAAUCAGUAAACUCGUGACUUUUAUGGAGUGUCAAAAACAUGCAUUGUGUACGUGGAAAAAUGUUACCAUAGUAUUCUUACCACAUUUAUUUUGGUAAAUGUCAAUGAGCAACCAUGAAGCAUAUUUUCUUGAUUUGACAAUGGCUUUCGAUAAGAAAAUUAUGCUACAAUGUAUGUUUGCCCAAUAUAUCCACCCACCAAACAAAUACAGCCUACAAACGAAACAGAAACAAUAUUCUGACCAACUUAUGAUCAUAAGAUCAAUAAAUAAGUCAAAAUAUAGGGUUGUAUGGUUUUGGCUGUUUUAAUAUCGUUACAUCUACCUACAUAACCCUUCUUUGUUCGCCGUCUAAGGUAUCAGUAAGCGCCGAUUAAAGCUCAAAGUAUCGACCGCAAGAGAGUUUAUAACGGAUUAUCAUUGCUGUACAAUCCUAUUUGAGCCUCGACCUUUCUAAGUCUGUUUCUCCUUCUUCUAAAGGUGCCUAUCUCCUAGUGGUGUUGGCGACCACAUUGGCCCAUCUUAUUCUAUUCACACCAGCUCGAAAUGGAUCAGUUGACGUAAACCAGUCACCUUCCUAGGGACAGGACCUCACUUGCCCUCAAUCUUGCCUUUUAGAAUCAACUCUAGAAGUCGAUAUUUACUAUUACGCAUUACGCAUAAUGUGGUCAAAGUAAACCAAUUUUCUAUUCUUUUCUAUUCUAUAAUUUCUUUGUUUUUUUCUUAGCCUCUGGAGAAUAAUUUGUAAACUGUUUCUCCAAUCCGUUCUAUUCCUUGAAGCUUGGUGUCAGUUUGCCUCACCAAUUUUUCUCGAAUUCUUAUCCUGACCAUUCAUCUUUAGUCUACCUCUCUCAUUAAUUUACAGUUUUUUUCUAUUAUGGCUAGUUGGUACUAAUUUAGUUCUGCUGUCCUUUUUAGCUCGUCUUAUCAUCUUUCUUGCGGUCUUCCUACGAUUCUUCUUUCUCCCCAUGGUCUCUACCUAGUUACAUUUCCACUCCAGCUUUCGUACAGUUAUAUUUAUUUGUGUGUACUCAAUUGUGUUCGUUUUCCCUGCUUUUAUAAGUUAUCUUCUCUCUUCUAGAAGUUGUUUUGUUUUUAGGUAGAGUUUGUCACUGCUCUGUGUUCUGUUACCUGCUCAAAUGCAUUAAGAAACUAUAAAUACUUUGUCGUUAUUUGACGCACAUUCCGAAAUUCGAGUGAAUAAGUAAGCAAGAGUUGAAAUAUUUAAAAGCUCGACUAUCAGAUCUGUAUUUCUGUUUAAGUGUAAUUUUAGAAUUGGAUGCAUACUUUUUAAUCCUUCAAAUAUUGAGAAUGUUUAACCAUGUUUUAUAUUAUUAAUACGUAAUUCAUUGAUAUUUUUCUGUUGAUAUGUUCUUAUACUUUAUAACGAAGAAGUUUCUAUUUAUAUUAAAUUUACAUUCAAGAUGCAGUAGAAAUAAACAAACCAAGACACGUUAAGUGCUACUAGGAGCACACCCGAAUCAUAAUCUACAAUGUAUAAACCUUGGAAAUCAUGAUUUGGGGUUUACAAUGCAUAUACAUUGUAAAUUAUGAUUCGGGAGUGCUCCUAGUAGCAUUUAACGUGUCUUGUUUUGUUUAUUUCUACUGCAUCUUUAUUCUAAAUUUAGUAUAGUUCUAAAUAAAAGGUUUUAGAUAUAUUUUAAGUUCUUUGUAAUGUUAGUUUUGUAAAAAGAUAUUUACACAUGCAGCGACUGUGAUAAAGCAGCCCCUAGACGCUUAAUUUUGUCCACGAUAAUUGGUAAUUAAAAAUUGAAUGGGUUGCAUGUGUGAGUUCAUACUACAUAAGUAGUUAAAUAAAUAACGGACGUUCUCACAAUCAUUUAUUUACUCCGUGUCUCCGGAUAAUUUACUUCUACCGGAGACCUGAUGAUGCUGUGAAAUCUGUAGACAGCGAAACCGGCCGUCCUAAGUAAAUAAAUGAUUGUGAGAACGUCUGUUAUCCCUUUACCUACUGAAUUGGUAAUCAAUUUGUAGUUGAGUCUUAAACAACCACAGUGUAAAUGGUACUCUGUAAGUAUGCGGUAAGAAGAACUUGUAGCAAUUACCAUCUAUGAAUUUUAUCUGGUUUUUUAGUCAUUCUUUUAAAUCUUCAUUUCCCUGGUUGGUUGAAGAGUUCCUUUAAUUCCUAUGAUUAGAACUCGAUGCUAAACGCUAAUGGACCAGGUAUACAUCUGGGUCGGGACUGUGUAACGUUUAAAAAAUCCGGUUGUGUAUCUUGUCCAUUUUUUGUAUUUGAAAAUAUUUUUUAGAGAGUUUUCUUACACAAAACUCAAUUAUUAUUAUUUAUGAUAAUAUAGACGUCUAUAGGCUGCUUUAGAUUUACAUAUUAACAAGUUUUUGUAUCUAACUCCAACUAGUCCAGGUUGUCGUACUGCUCCUGUGGAAAAAUGUUCUGAUUCGGUUUUUUUGCUGAUUCCUGUUCAAAAAUAAUUCCUUUAAACAAAUCUUGAGGGUUUUUGGGCAGAAAUUGUAUAUCUAAUCGUAACAAUGAUGAUUUCAUAAGUGGUAAUGAUGAAGUUAAUGUAACAUUUCAUUUGUAAAUAUAAUUUUAACUUCAUUAUAUUGAAUACUACCUCUGUAACAUUGUGAUGUUUUUUGUAUAUUUUUGUUAAAAUAUCUCUACUUUUAUUAUAUCUACUUACUAAUUUAAUUAACUAGUUUUUAGUUAAUAGAUAAAUCUGUACCUCGGAGGGAUACAACACUAUGUCCAUUUUUUUUUAAUUUAUGACAUUUUUACACACUAAUAAUCAACUUUUACCAUUUUAUUUAGAGGAAUAAAGCACUAGGUCCUAAACCAUUUGCUGAUUGAGAUAGUGACAUUUAAAAGAAGAUCCUAAUAGAAGAAAAGAAGAUAAAAGCCAAGUCCAUUUGUCCCUAUUGUUGAAAAAAGUUUAAAACUGCUGUUCUGUAAAGUUAUGAAAAUGGACAUAGAGUUGUAUCCCUCUGAAAUACAGCAAUAUAUUAAAUUUAACUUAGGGCCGGUUUCACCAACAACAAAUAAAUUGGGGAAUAGUUAUUAGUCGAAUAAAAUUUAUUAGUCGAUUAUAUUUUUAUUGUUUCAAUACAAUUUUGAUAAUUUAAAGUUAAACUGACGAAUUGCCUUUGUUAUAGAUAUUUAAAGCGAGAAAGUCAAUUUAAUCGAAGAGUAAAUAUUUAUUUGGUAAAAAAUAAAGUAAGUCUUAUUUGAUGUUUGUGAAACGUAGAUCUCACAGUUUUAUUGGUCGAAUAACUUUAUUCAUCGAAUAAACUACUAUUCGGCGUUGGUGAAACCGGCCAUUAGUUAUUUAAUUUCCAAUUCGACAUUGUUUUUUAAAACAAGUUUGUGAUUUUGGUUCUCUUCUUUUUAAGUGCCGUCUCCUAAUCGGAGGUGGGAUAUCAUCAUCACUAUCUUUACUAUAUCUACCGCUGCUCUAAAUAGUUCUAUAGAACUACAUUUAAACCAGUCCCUUAAAUUCUUCAACCAUGACACUCUCC
rnacentral:misc_RNA from 1 species